rnacentral:rRNA from 1 species
GACGAACGCUGGCGGCGUGCUUAACACAUGCAAGUCGAACGGUGACCCAGGGCUUGCCCUGGUGAUCAGUGGCGAACGGUGAGUAACACGUGGGCAACCUGCCCCUGACUUCGGGAUAACUCCUCGAAAGAGGAGCUAAUACCGGAUACGACCACUUCGGACAUCCGAUGGUGGUGGAAAGUUUUUCGGUCAGGGAUGGGCCCGCGGCCUAUCAGCUAGUUGGUGGGGUAAUGGCCUACCAAGGCGACGACGGGUAGCCGGCCUGAGAGGGCGACCGGCCACACUGGGACUGAGACACGGCCCAGACUCCUACGGGAGGCAGCAGUGGGGAAUAUUGCGCAAUGGGCGAAAGCCUGACGCAGCGACGCCGCGUGAGGGAUGAAGGCCUCGGUUGUAACCUCUUUCAGCAGGGACGAAGCGAAAGUGACGGUACCUGCAGAAGAAGACACCGGCUAACUACGUGCCAGCA